AUAUCAAUAAGCGGAGGAAAAGAAACCAACAGGGAUUCCCCUAGUAACGGCGAGUGAAGCGGGAACAGCUCAAAUUUGAAAUCUGGCCCUCGGGUCCGAGUUGUAAUUUGUAGAGGAUGCUUUUGGUGCGGUGCCUUCCGAGUUCCCUGGAACGGGACGCCUUAGAGGGUGAGAGCCCCGUACGGUUGGACGCCUAGCCUCUGUAAAGCUCCUUCGACGAGUCGAGUAGUUUGGGAAUGCUGCUCUAAAUGGGAGGUAUAUUUCUUCUAAAGCUAAAUACUGGCCAGAGACCGAUAGCGCACAAGUAGAGUGAUCGAAAGAUGAAAAGCACUUUGAAAAGAGGGUUAAAUAGCACGUGAAAUUGUUGAAAGGGAAGCGUUUAUCACCAGACUUUUUCUGGGGGGAUCAUCCGGUGUUCUCACCGGUGCACUUCCCCCAGUUGAGGCCAGCAUCGGUUUUCGGAGGGGGAUAAAAGCUUCGGGAAUGUGGCUCCCUCGGGAGUGUUAUAGCCCGUUGCAUAAUACCCUUCUGGGGACCGAGGUUCGCGCAUCUGCAAGGAUGCUGGCAUAAUGGUGAUCAACGAC
rnacentral:rRNA from 1 species